UACAGAGGUGGCAAGCGUUGUUCGGAAUUACUGGGCGUAAAGGGCGCGUAGGCGGUUCGCCAAGUCCCGUGUGAAAGCCCUCGGCUCAACCGAGGAACGGCGCGGGAAACUAGCAGGCUUGAGUUCGGGAGAGGGAAGCGGAAUUCCGGGUGUAGCGGUGAAAUGCGCAGAUAUCCGGAGGAACACCGGUGGCGAAGGCGGCUUCCUGGACCGACACUGACGCUGAGGCGCGAAAGCGUGGGUAGCAAACGGG
rnacentral:rRNA from 1 species